GCCCCCGCCCCGCCCGCGCCCGGACGAGCGUCUGAGUUGGGGGCGCUCGGCGGGGACUUCCGCGGAGCAGGCGGGGGCGCGGGAGCAGCGCGCAGCUGUCCGCCCGGGUUCACCUGGGCGCCCGGGGUCACCGCCUCUGCCUGAGGACACGUUGCCGCGGGCUCCAGGGGACGCGGGUUCAUCCCAGCGCCCAAGUGUAACCUCCCCGCCCUUCGCUCGCUCACGUAGUCCCGGGUUUCGGGACGCGGAGUGCUGGCGAGGAGGCCGCUCGCGGCCCCGGCGGGGCCGGGGGAUAAACAAUCGCACAGGAUACACGACACCCUGGACUGUCACAAGUCCCUCGCAGGAAAAGAUAAAUAACAUCUGAGGAGCCGCGGCGCAGCUUCCCCGGCCGAACAGAAACUCGGCGAGAAAUUCCUCCUGAGGGCACAUUUCCGAUAUACCACGUGUACAAGAAUCCCCACCUCAGCUCUACUUCUGGGGAACUGACCCACAGCGUGGGGCUGGCUGACAUUUGUGAACGGAGAAAGCAGAGCUUGGAAAGACCAACCAGUCCCUCCUAAGCCCCUGGCAGCUGGAAGAACAUGGGUCUGCCCCAUGGAGUUUCUCUGCCAUUGACUUCCGGCCCCAGGGUGCUCGGCCAAAACCAUCCCUCAAGAAAAUGAUGAAGAGACAAUGAAUUCAAGUCAGUGUUACUUGAUCAACCAGAUAGUAAAUUUAAGGUGACCUGACCGUAGAGUCUCUGGAUUAAUCGGAAAACGUCUAUAAUUUCCAAAGAAAAAUUACCAAUUUCAAGGGUAAGAGAAUUGCUUUUCCAUAUGUCCUUGAAAUUGUUAAAAGCCAUUUUACUUUCCAGUCUAGUACAGGAAAGGUUG